ACCUACGGGAGGCAGCAGGCGCGAAAACUCUACAAUGCAGGCAACUGCGAUAGGGGGACAUCGAGUGGCAUCCACCUUGGGUGCCUGUCCAACCGUCUAAAAAACGGUUGUUAGCAAGGGCCGGGUAAGACCGGUGCCAGCCGCCGCGGUAAUACCGGCGGCUCGAGUGGUGGCCGAUAUUAUUGAGUCUAAAGGGUCCGUAGCCGGCUUUGCAAGUCCCCUGGGAAAUCCAGCGGCUUAACCGUUGGGCUUUCAUGGGAUACUACAUUGCUUGGGACUGGGAGAGGUAGGAGGUACUCGGGGGGUAGGGGUGAAAUCCUGUAAUCCUCCGGGGACCACCGGUGGCGAAGGCGUCCUACCAGAACAGGUCCGACGGUGAGGGACGAAAGCUAGGGGCACGAACCGGCUUAGAUACCCCGGUAGG
rnacentral:rRNA from 1 species